rnacentral:rRNA from 1 species
AUUGAACGCUGGCGGCAUGCCUUACACAUGCAAGUCGAACGGCAGCACGGGUGCUUGCACCUGGUGGCGAGUGGCGAACGGGUGAGUAAUACAUCGGAACAUGUCCUGUAGUGGGGGAUAGCCCGGCGAAAGCCGGAUUAAUACCGCAUACGAUCUACGGAUGAAAGCGGGGGACCUUCGGGCCUCGCGCUAUAGGGUUGGCCGAUGGCUGAUUAGCUAGUUGGUGAGGUAAAGGCCUACCAAGGCGACGAUCAGUAGCUGGUCUGAGAGGACGACCAGCCACACUGGGACUGAGACACGGCCCAGACUCCUACGGGAGGCAGCAGUGGGGAAUUUUGGACAAUGGGCGAAAGCCUGAUCCAGCAAUGCCGCGUGUGUGAAGAAGGCCUUCGGGUUGUAAAGCACUUUUGUCCGGAAAGAAAUCCUUGGCCCUAAUACGGUCGGGGGAUGACGGUACCGGAAGAAUAAGCACCGGCUAACUACGUG